rnacentral:rRNA from 1 species
GCAAGUCGAACGAUGAAGCCUUUCGGGGUGGAUUAGUGGCGAACGGGUGAGUAACACGUGGGCAAUCUGCCCUUCACUCUGGGACAAGCCCUGGAAACGGGGUCUAAUACCGGAUAACACUCUGUCCCGCAUGGGACGGGGUUAAAAGCUCCGGCGGUGAAGGAUGAGCCCGCGGCCUAUCAGCUUGUUGGUGGGGUAAUGGCCUACCAAGGCGACGACGGGUAGCCGGCCUGAGAGGGCGACCGGCCACACUGGGACUGAGACACGGCCCAGACUCCUACGGGAGGCAGCAGUGGGGAAUAUUGCACAAUGGGCGAAAGCCUGAUGCAGCGACGCCGCGUGAGGGAUGACGGCCUUCGGGUUGUAAACCUCUUUCAGCAGGGAAGAAGCGAAAGUGACGGUACCUGCAGAAGAAGCGCCGGCUAACUACGUGCCAGCAGCCGCGGUAAUACGUAGGGCGCAAGCGUUGUCCGGAAUUAUUGGGCGUAAAGAGCUCGUAGGCGGCUUGUCACGUCGGAUGUGAAAGCCCGGGGCUUAACCCCGGGUCUGCAUUCGAUACGGGCUAGCUAGAGUGUGGUAGGGGAGAUCGGAAUUCCUGGUGUAGCGGUGAAAUGCGCAGAUAUCAGGAGGAACACCGGUGGCGAAGGCGGAUCUCUGGGCCAUUACUGACGCUGAGGAGCGAAAGCGUGGGGAGCGAACAGGAUUAGAUACCCUGGUAGUCCACGC